UACGUAGGGAGCAAGCGUUGUCCGGAAUCAUUGGGCGUAAAGCGCGCGUAGGCGGCCCUGUAAGUCCGCUGUGAAAGUCAAAGGCUCAACCUUUGAAAGCCGGUGGAUACUGCAGGGCUAGAGUCCGGAAGAGGCGAGUGGAAUUCCUGGUGUAGCGGUGGAAUGCGCAGAUAUCAGGAGGAACACCAAUAGCGAAGGCAGCACUCUGGGACGUGACUGACGCUGAGACGCGAAAGCGUGGGGAGCAAACAGG
rnacentral:rRNA from 1 species